UGAGGACAAAGCAUAUGAGGACAAAGGCAUGGGAAGCCUUCACCAUACCCCGCUGCCUGCCCAGCCAGUCUUGGUGAUCCAGUUUCAGUGUGAGUUUGGUGCGGUUGCACAUAAAUGUAAGCUUGGCUACUGGGGUGACAGAGAGAAGUUUGAGAAACAGCAAGAGCCUGUCCAAUAAAACACUUCUAGCCGAUAAAAAUUUCCUCAAGGGCUGGGGGCUUAGAUCAGUGGUUCUGUUUUCUGCCUCGCAAGCACAAG
rnacentral:lncRNA from 1 species